GAUCAUGGCUCAGAUUGAACGCUGCGGCAGGCCUAACACAUGCAAGUCGAACGGUAACAGGAAACAGCUUGCUGUUUCGCUGACGAGUGGCGGACGGGUGAGUAAUGUCUGGGAAACUGCCUGAUGAGGGGGAUAACUACUGGAAACGGUAGCUAAUACCGCAUAACGUCGCAAGACCAAAGAGGGGGACCCUCGGGCCUCUUGCCAUCGGAUGUGCCCAGAUGGGAUUAGCUUGUUGGUGGGGUAACGGCUCACCAAGGCGACGAUCCCUAGCUGGUCUGAGAGGAUGACCAGCCACACUGGAACUGAGACACGGUCCAGACUCCUACGGGAGGCAGCAGUGGGGAAUAUUGCACAAUGGGCGCAAGCCUGAUGCAGCCAUGCCGCGUGUAUGAAGAAGGCCUUCGGGUUGUAAAGUACUUUCAGCGGGGAGGAAGGGAGUAAAGUUAAUACCUUUGCUCAUUGACGUUACCCGCAGAAGAAGCACCGGCUAACUCCGUG
rnacentral:rRNA from 1 species